CCGAGCACAAUUAGAUGAGACAGUAUCUCCAUCAAACCACAUAGAGAAGUCUUUAUAUCAUCCAGUAAAAAGGUGCCGAUCAAGAUGGUGUUCCGUUCUACCAUUCUCGUUCUCGUGAUUCUAACAUUAACCAGCUCGUGGCUGGCUCAUGCUCGUUAUCUGCCCACAAGGGCUGACCAGACCAGGAGAGAGCAAAUAAAAGACAUCUUAAGAAUGUUGCUGGACAUGAGCACUGAAGACCAUACCGACCUCACCAAACCUUUCUUGCCCUAUGAAUACUCUCGGCCCAUUGACACUGCUAAACGUUCUCCAAUGGCUCUCGACGAUGGCGACCUCUUUCGUCGGGGAAGUCUCGACUGAAAAUGCCUAUUCUUAUUGUGGAGGAUUCUUCGUAAGUUAUGUUUUAGAAAUCCUACAAAAACGACGCCUCUGAUUCUAAGUUUGAUUGAUAACCUUCAAGAAAAAAGUGCGUUACUUUUCUGACCAAAAAAAAAAAAAGAAAGUUUAAGAAAUGUAAUAAUAAUUUGAAUUUAAUUAUUUUAAUGUGUUUCAUUUCAUUUCGCAAGGCUCAAAAUACAACACAGCAGUUCCCUUUUGACUGUUAGAUUUUAAUCUAUGAAUAUUGGAGUAACAGACUUCUCAAAUCUGUAUUGUCUUAUAUCGAAGAAUUAAAAAUUUCAUUGGAAAAAUACA